rnacentral:lncRNA from 1 species
CCUGCCUGGGCCUCCCAAAGUGCUGGGAUUACAGGCAUGAGCCACCAUGCCCAGCCUGAGAUAUUUCUUUAUAGUAACACAAAAACAGCCUAACAAAAAGGUCACAUAGUAGGUAGGAUUUAGUAAGAAAGAGAGCUGAGAUUUCAAGGCAGGUGAACUGGGUCUAAUGUUUCCACUGCUUUACUCACCUCUCCCUACCUCUAGAUUUCCACCCUCCCAUGUUGAAAUCUCUUGGUUAUAAAUUUUCACUUGUGCUUCUUUCUUAGAUCACCUUCUUGAAUCACAGUGGUGUCUAUUUUCAUAUCCAUUGAGGGUAUAGUGAUUCCUUGAGGGUUACAAGGUCUGCAGAUCGAUGAGUUCUUGGCAUUUUGGAGAGGCCAGAGACUGGUAGCUCUGAGUCAUUAGUUGUCAGGCCAUGCCUCCCCAUCAAACAAUCGAAGCUUGGCUGACUUCUCUGAGUGCCAGAAGAAGGCUGGGGCUGGGGGUAGAGGAUCUGGGUUUCACAAGAGGCGAGUCUGGAAAUGUCAAAAUUGGGGUCCAAGGUGAGAGGAUGGCGUGGUAGGACAACAUUGUCUGCCAUCCGUGUAUAAUGGCUGAAGCUCUGGUUAGUGGGUGUGGCCUAAGGAGAAUGUAGUGAUUCCCACUGUCGGUGUAAAGGGCUUCAUAUUGAUGGAGAGUUUUCUGUGUUGUCAGAAGUUCUGGUGGACACUGUGAGACAGAUUUCAUGGAUUUAUAGAUGAGACAGCUGAAGCUUGGGAGUCUGUGCCCCAGAUCGCACAAUUUAUUAGCAGUAGGAGUCCAAGUUGAGCCAAGCCAGAGAAGGUUACUGAGUGUUUUGGCACCCUUGGCCUUAAUCUGCUGCUCUUCAGAUUUCACAGCCCCCAUGUUCCAGAUAGUUCACUCAAAGCUUGGGAGUUGGAGAUGAGGGAAUCAACAGAUGCUGACACUAGCAUGAAGGAGAGGUAUAGCUGAUCUGGAGGUAUGAUUGGGAGAGGUUGAGAAGCCUUUCAAGGGUGUCCCUGAUGUGGGAGGGCACAAGCAAAGGCCCAGGGGCAAGGAACUGCCCAGUAGAUUCCAGAAGAGAACUACCAUUGCAUACAGCAGAGUGUACAAUAACAGGGUAGUCAGUACACUGCAUCAAGGGGCUGAAGGCAACUGCCUUUUGGUUUGAGCAUAGUCUGAAAGCAGUGGAGCCACUGAAUCCCACAAAAGCUGGUAACCUGGACAGCUCAAAAGUCACAGCCAUCAGGACUUUGCCUGGAAUAUUCUGGCAUUAUUGGCAAACAUCUAUCUUCCCCUAACAGGUUGGCUGCUGUAUACUGAGACCCAGUCGGAGAUCAGAAGGCAGGUUCAGUAGAAACACGUAGGA